GAUGAACGCUGGCGGUAUGCCCAACACAUGCAAGUCGUACGAGAGUUUUUAACUCUAGUGGCGGACGGGUGAGUAACACGUGAGAAUUUGCCUUUAGGAGGGGGAUAACAAUUGGAAACGAAUGCUAAUACCCCAUAUGCUUUUGAGUGAAAUGGAUUUUAUCCGCCUAGAGAGAAGCUCGCGGCUGAUUAGCUUGUUGGUAAGGUAAGAGCUUACCAAGGCGACGAUCAGUAUCUGGUUUGAGAGGACGAUCAGACACACUGGAACUGAGACACGGUCCAGACUCCUACGGGAGGCAGCAGUGGGGAAUUUUCCGCAAUGGGCGAAAAGCCUGACGGAGCAAUACCGCGUGA
rnacentral:rRNA from 1 species